rnacentral:rRNA from 1 species
AGUGAACGCUGGCGGUAGGCCUAACACAUGCAAGUCGAACGGCAGCACAGUAAGAGCUUGCUCUUACGGGUGGCGAGUGGCGGACGGGUGAGGAAUACAUCGGAAUCUACUUUUUCGUGGGGGAUAACGUCGGGAAACUUACGCUAAUACCGCAUACGACCUACGGGUGAAAGCAGGGGAUCUUCGGACCUUGCGCGAUUGAAUGAGCCGAUGUCGGAUUAGCUAGUUGGCGGGGGAAAGGCCCACCAAGGCGACGAUCCGUAGCUGGUCUGAGAGGGUGGUCAGCCACACUGGAUCUGACACACGGUCAAGACUCCUACGGGAGGCAGGAGGGGGGAAUAUUGGACAAUGGGCGCAAGCCUGAUCGAGCCAGACCGGGUGGGUGAAGAAGGCCUUCGGGUUGUAAAGCCAUUUUGUUGGGAAAGAAAAGCAGGAGGUUAAUACCCCGCUGUUCGGAGGGAACCCAAAGAAUAAGCACGGGCUAAUUUCGU